AGUUCGGUAAAAGUUGACCCUGUAUUCAAGAGAUAAACGUUUCAUGGCGAAAUCUUAGGCGUACAUUUUACAGUUGUUAUCACAUCGUUCAAAAUUUGAAAUCCCUGAAAACAUAUCCUACUUCAAUCUUUCCUUCCUCUCUCCCCAUAAGAAGCCCUAACACGCAUCCACCUUGUCAUUUUAUACUGCCAUAUACAGAGAGGUGUUGAAGAUCGGAAAAUCUCUACACACACUCACCACUCUCGCUCAAUACAGGUUGAAAUCUCUGUACCCUUGAAGGUUUAAUCGUUUAAGCUACCACUCCCCGUGCCAUCACCAUCAACAACCACACAUCGCACCAUGCCAUCAGGAACCACUCUUCUGUUUUUUUUGUUUUCUAUUUUUGAAAAUCCAGUUACGCCUCCUCCUAACUCGAAAUCGAGUUUCAGUUGAUGGAGGUUUGCUCCUAUUUUUUUCCCUUUCUACUAUGGUGGUAGAGUCUUAGUCCCAAUAAUACGAUGUUGGAGUUCAGUUAUAUUCCAGUGAAAAAAAUUUACAGGAAGGGAGCCAAUCGCAAACCCUAGGCGAUUUCAUUUCUUCAAACAAAUAUGUUUAUGAAAUAUCUUUAAUUUCAUGUUUUAUUAUGUUGAAUUUCGUUUGUUUAGUUAACCAUGGAUAUUGUCAAAAAAAAUUCAGAGGAUAUGGCCGAGAUCUUGAUUUAUCUAUCUUUUGAUGUUUUUGUUAAUUUUAAUUUUAAUUUGCUAUAUAUUGUUCAUUCUUCAAAUUAUAAGGAUAGUUUUUUUUUUUGUUGUUACAGGAAAAUGAAUUUCACCGGCUGCUCCAAGUUUCAAAAACUAAGUCUAAUCACUUGCUGUCUUCUUAAUUUCCAUAAUAUGAAAAUUUUACCCAAUUAUGGUAUAGUAAUUUCAUAUUAUUUCUAUAAGCCAAUCUGUAAAGUUUUUUCUUAUUAUGUACUUUGAGAAGUUUGAAAUUACAACUUCUAGAGCAUGCUAUAUUUGUCUAAUAUUAUCCAUUUUGGUGUCAUUGUUGAUUGUAGGUAAAGUGGAUUUGUGUUGGCUUUGUUGGAAAUUGUGCAUACGUUUUUUUACUUUUGCUGAUUUUGUGAUGUAGGCCUUGCCGAAUUAGCAAAUUGCUGAUUACCCGAAUUAGCAAACUGCUAAUUACCCACCAAAAUUGGUUCCAGAACUGUUUGCAGCAAUAAUUUUGUUUUGGAUUCAGGUACUAUAAUUUUGUUUUAUUUAGUUCUAAAUUAUAAAUAAUAAAAUGAAUAACUUUUGAUUCUCAAGUCCGUUUUAACCAUUGUAAUCAUUGCAUUUAUUUAAUCUAUUAUUUAGUUAUCAUAGUUUUAGGUCACAUGUAUGUAGGUUUAUUUUUUAUUGCUAUAAAGCACAAAGAAAUGAUAGUAGGAUGCUAUAAAGCACAAAGAAAUGGAAGUAUGUUGCUUUAUUUUUUAUUUUUUUGGGCUAUUAGCUGCCAAAAGGCCAAAUUUGUUUAAUGUCAAAAGGCCAAAGUUUUGUUUUAUUUUGUCAAACUAAUGGAUUUUGUUCUUCCUGUAUCUAGGUUGGAGAUAACUUUAGUAAAUUUGGGGUUUUGCAUUUUUUUUGCUACCUAAUUCUAAUGCUACCAUUUACUUUUAUGUGUUUUGUAAUGAAAUACUCUUAUACUUUGAAUAAGAUGGGAGUUAGUUACUUACAUAUUUUCUUUCUUGCAAGCGUGUACUGAUGCAAAAUAUGUAUGAAGAUACCACGAUUUUAAAACUCAAAAAUACUAAAAUUUCUAUUUAUAUAGACAUAGAAAUUAAUCAUAAAAAGGUUAUUUUAUGAUUCAAAUAUAAAUGAGCAAUGAUAGUACCCAUUAAAAAUGAUGAUUUUGCUUUCAUGUUUUUGUCAUUUCCGUGUAAGUACGAGUGUUUGAUACUUUCUUUGGAUAUAUUGUAAAAAAUAUAUUAAUUUGUUUUAACACAUUAAUAUAAUAAAAAGUUUUUUAAAAAAAAAACAUAAAAUGUAAUACAAUAACAAAGGAAUCAGUGGAUAAAAGGUGUAGAUUUGGAUGUAACUUCUUGAAAAAAUUAAAAUGUGUUGCUAUUCUAUAAAUUUAAACUUAUUUAAUAAAAAUAAAAGGUAACAAACAAAGCAAUAAAAAUGUUAAUGGUUGUUUGUUUACAUUUAUAAAAUAUGUUGGUUUUUAUCCUUCAUGUGAUUUUUUCAAUACAUUAAAGUUGUUUCUUUUGUAUAAAAUUUUCUAGCCUUUAGAAAAAAAAGAUCACUUAACUUUGAUGUUUGCUAAAUCUCAGAUACUAGACUUGCAAUUAUUACUUUUGUGGGAAGAUUGAAAGGUCACACGUUUUAUGACUAUUUUGAAGCUAGACUUGCAAUUAUUAUUUUUGUGGGAAGAUUGAAAGGUCACAUGUUUUAUGACCAUUUUGAAGCUCAUAAAGUAGUAACAAUUUGUUAUAAUUUUUUGUGUUUGUAUAUUGUAUAUGCGUGUUGUUUUUGUAUGUUGUGUGUGUGUGUGUGACAUUUAUGAUUGUAGGUUAAUGUCUAUUAUGAUUAACUUAUACCCCCGGUAAUCGGAAAUGGAACUUAAAGAGAAUUUAUAAAGUUAAUCUCACAUUAAAAGAAAAUUUUCAUACAAAUAUUAUGUCGAUAAUUCUUUAAAAGCAUCUAUAAUUUUCUUUUACCGCGUCAACUUUAUCACACUAAAAGCAUCCCC
rnacentral:lncRNA from 1 species